rnacentral:rRNA from 1 species
ACUGAGAUACGGCCCUUACUCCUACGGGAGGCAGCAGUGGGGAAUCUUGCACAAUGGACGAAAGUCUGAUGCAGCAAUUUCGCGUGAAGGAUGAAGCAUUACGGUGUGUAAACUUCUUUUUUGGCAGAAGACGAAUGACGGUAUGUCAAGAAUAAGAGACGGCUAACUACGUGCCAGCAGCCGCGGUAAUACGUAGGUCUCAAGCGUUAUCCGGAUUUACUGGGCGUAAAGUGUCCGUAGUCUGAAUUGUAAGUCUGUUUUCAAAUCCUACGACUCAAUCGUAGAAAGGGAAUGGAUACUGCAAUUCUGGAAGUAUCUAGGGGUUAGUGGAAUUUCCGGUGGAGCGGUGAAAUGCGUUGAUAUCGGAAGGAACGCCGAAAGCGAAAGCAGCUAACUAUAGAAUACUUGACGAUGAGGGACGACAGUUUGGGGAGCAAACAGGAUUAGAUACCCUGGUAGUCCAAACCGUAAAUUAUGCUUGCUAGAUGUUUUUAUCAAUUUAUUGGUAGGAGUGUCGUAAUCUAACGAGUUAAGCAAGCCGCCUGGGUAGUAUAUUCGCAAGAAUGAAACUCAAAGGGAUAGGCGGGGGAACACACAAGCAGUGGAUUAUCUAGAUUAAUUGGAUAAUAAGCCAAGAAUCUUACCUAGGAUUGACAUGUAUUGUGUCUGCGGUGAAAGUCGCAUAUCCGUAGCAAUACGGAGCUUUACACAGGUGGUGCAUGGUCGUCGUCAGCUCGUGCCGCAAGGUGUCUAGUUAAGUCUGGAAACGAGCGCAACCCUCGUGUUUAGUUAGUAUGUCUAAACAGACUGCUCGGGUAACCGAGAGGAAGGAGAGGAUGACGUCAGAUCCUCAUGCCCCUUACACCUAGGGCCUCAUAGAUAAUACAAUGGGUAGGUACAGCGAGAAGCGAUACCGUGAGGUGGAGCAAAUCUUUAAAACUACCCCUAGUUCGGAUUGUAGUCUGGAACUCGACUACAUGAAGUUGGAAUUGCUAGUAAUGGCAGAUCAGCCAUGCUGCCGUGAAUACGUCCCUGUUCCUUGCACUCACCGCCCGUCAAACCAUGGGAGCUGAGGCUCUUUGAAGACUCAUUAUAUGGGUUAAGGAGGGAAUCAGUGACUGGGGUUAAGUCGUAACAAGGCAUCCCUACCGGAAGGUGGGGAUA